rnacentral:tRNA from 1 species
GCCGGCGUGGCGGAAUUGGCAGACGCGCCGGACUCAAAAUCCGGUUCCUUUAAAGAGUGUCGGUUCGAACCCGACCGCCGGUA